ACUCGUCAAUACCCGUAUCUCCCCGCCUGCGUCACGACUUGCUCUGCUGAAAUUACCGCACCAUAACCACGUUAUCUGCCCCAAUGAGCACAUCUACGGGCCGGGGAACCAGCGCAGAAAAGGAGUAAGUUUAAUUGGUCGCCAGAUGAAACGGUCUUACAUCAAAUUCAAGAAAAAAUACGUAUAAUCAGAGGGUGUUAUGGGAAGAGUAUCACCCCUGAGGAUAAGAAGAGAGCGUGGACUGAAGUGGCAGAAGCUGUAACAAGUGCCUUCCCUGGGAGUGGACCCCGUACGCAGGAUGACUGUGAGAGGCGUUGGUACAACGUACAACAAAAAUCAAAGCCUUGCAUUGCCAAGUGCAAGAAUGAGCAGCGGCAGACUGAUACACACUUUAUCAGUAUUGCUAGAGACCAUCCCAGCACAUUGUUCAUUACUUGUGGAAAAGAUACCAUUAGCUGCUCCGGCAACAGCCACUGCUUCAAUAUCUGCUGGCCCUAUGACACCAGCCACUGCUUCAUCAUCUG